AUAUGUUUGCGAGGGAACUGAACUAGUUGAAAAAGGCUAAGACCUGACCUCUGGACCUGUCGGCUAAUACUGGCGUAGGGAAGCAAUUUCUUACGCCAC
rnacentral:ncRNA from 1 species